UACAGAGGGUGCGAGCGUUAAUCGGAAUUACUGGGCGUAAAGGGUGCGUAGGUUGUUGCAUAAGUUGAAUGUGAAAGCCCUGGGCUCAACCUGGGAACGGCAUUCAAGACUGUGAGACUAGAGUCGUGUAGAGGGAAGUGGAAUUUCCGGUGUAGCGGUGAAAUGCGUAGAUAUCGGAAGGAACAUCAGUGGCGAAGGCGGCUUCCUGGACACAGACUGACACUGAGGCACGAAAGCGUGGGUAGCAAACAGG
rnacentral:rRNA from 1 species